UCUUGGUCAUUAGAGGAAGUAAAAGUCGUAACAAGGUCUCCGUAGGUGAACCUGCGGAGGGAUCAUUACACAACAAAAAUAUGAGGGUGUGGUUUGCUGGCAACAGCGUCCGCCCCAAGUAUUUUUCACCCAUGUCUUUUGCGCACUUUUUGUUUCCUGGGCGAGUUCGCUCGCCACCAGGACCCAACCAUAAACCUUUUUUUAUGCAGUUGCAAUCAGCGUCAGUAUAAUAAUUCAAUUUAUUAAAACUUUCAACAACGGAUCUCUUGGUUCUGGCAUCGAUGAAGAACGCAGCGAAAUGCGAUACGUAGUGUGAAUUGCAGAAUUCAGUGAAUCAUCGAAUCUUUGAACGCACAUUGCGCCCUUUGGUAUUCCAAAGGGCAUGCCUGUUCGAGCGUCAUUUGUACCCUCAAGCUUUGCUUGGUGUUGGGCGUCUUUUUGUCUCUCCCCUUGUUGGGGGAGACUCGCCUUAAAACGAUUGGCAGCCGACCUACUGGUUUUCGGAGCGCAGCACAAAUUUGCGCCUUCCAAUCCACGGGGCGGCAUCCAGCAAGCCUUUGUUUUCUAUAACAAAUCCACAUUUUGACCUCGGAUCAGGUAGGGAUACCCGCUGAACUUAAGCAUAUCAAUAAGCGGAGGAA
rnacentral:rRNA from 1 species